rnacentral:rRNA from 1 species
GACGAACGCUGGCGGCGUGCCUAAUACAUGCAAGUCGAGCGAGCGGAACCAACAGAUUUACUUCGGUAAUGACGUUGGGAAAGCGAGCGGCGGAUGGGUGAGUAACACGUGGGGAACCUGCCCCUAAGUCUGGGAUACCAUUUGGAAACAGGUGCUAAUACCGCAUAAGCCCACGACCCGGCAUCGGGUUGAGGGAAAAGGAGCAAUCCGCUUUGAGAUGGCCUCGCGUCCGAUUAGCUAGUUGGUGAGGUAACGGCCCACCAAGGCAACGAUCGGUAGCCGGACUGAGAGGUUGAACGGCCACAUUGGGACUGAGACACGGCCCAG